AAUUUCUUCAGUGUAGUCUUUAUCUUAUUUUGCUUUUCUUCAUUUCAUUUAUGCUCAUUCAACUGUAUUUUGCAACUUUGAACUAGAAAGUUUCAGAAAUACCCAAUUUAUAAGAUUUAAAUCACACGUUCUUGUGAAAUGUGAAAUUGUAAUGACAUCUCACCUAGGGGUUGGGAAUCAUUCCUGUGUCUUCCACAUUCACACUGCGCAUACAAACCGCCACCAGUCACAUGGCAGGCAUCACAGCCAGUAAGUAUCUCAGUGGUCUCUGUCUCUCAGUGCCAGUGUUGAAGCAACGUUAUUAGCCGCCUACUGCAAAGUCACAAUGCCCGUGUCACUCUUCUCAUUUCAUGUUAUCAUUGUGUCCUCUCACGUCAUCACAGGAAGAGGGAGUAUAGUACAGAGAAAAUGUGAGAGAGUGAGAGAGACUCCAUAUCGACAAUUUUUAUUACAUAUAGAAACACUGCUUGUUGGCGGAGUCCUCAACCAUAAUACAGAAGCCCAGGUGCAAGUUGAACAUCUUAAAGCCAGAGAGAAGAAAACAUUCAGAAUAUUAAAAAGGAGAAAACUAAAGAGGAGGAAGCAAAGGAGAGGAGGAGUGAGAAUCUUUGCCAUUUCUGCGAUCCACUCUAUAGGAAACAGAAGAUCAAUGCUUACUCAAGAGCAAGUGGGAUAAGCAAAGUGACAUGCAUUUCUGAGAUUGGAUUCUGGAAUGUUGAUCAGUAAUGAAAAAGAAGGAAAUUUUGUCUUUUUUGACAACAUGGAUGUCUUGAAGGGCAUUAUGUUAAAUGAAAUAAGCAGGCACAAAAGGACAAAUAAAGCAGACAUUACUUAUGUGUGGACUCUCAAGCAUUCAAACUCAGAGAAACACGCAGAAUAGUGGUCAAUGGGAUAUUGGGGGUGUACAAAAGGGGAGAUGUUGUUAAAAGAAAAAAAAACUUUUAAGAGCAAGUAGUUCUGGAGCUCUAAGGUUCAGUGUGGGUCAUGCUAUAUAGGUGAAUCAAUUUCAUUGUGACAAUCAUUACAGAAUGUACAUAUACAUUAAAUGGUAACAUCAUAUACCUUUGUACAUGUCUUUAAAAUUUUACAGCUUUAGUAAUUGCAUUGAUUAUCUAUUGCCAAGUAACCAUCCCCAAAGUUUAGAGGCC
rnacentral:lncRNA from 1 species